GGAUGUUUCUUGGGUGAUGCAGCUAGGAAUUGAGCUCCCUCCUCUCUGGUUCCAGGUGCAUCACCGGAGAACCACA
rfam:Myotis brandtii contig253021, whole genome shotgun sequence.